GGUAAAAUGACUGAUAAAGGUGAUAAAUUGUAAAUUUAUUUAUGAUGAAAAUCUUUUACUA
rnacentral:tRNA from 1 species